CAUCGCGAGGUGGAAUCUGAAGGAAGCCUGAUGAGCAAAGUACUGCACCGAUGAACAAGAAGCAGCUGUGAGGCUGAACAUGACUGGAUAAGGCUGCCCGACAUGCCAAAGUCCAAUACUACUCGAAGUCAUGCCAGUAGAGCUGACGGUGACAUGGUACGAAAGUUAA
rnacentral:ncRNA from 1 species